UCUUCAUUUCGCACACUCUCUCGCAUCUCUGACCGGUGAGAGAGUGUGUGAAAUGAAGAGA
rnacentral:pre_miRNA from 1 species